rnacentral:rRNA from 1 species
AGCGUACACGGUGGAUGCCCUGGCAGUCAGAGGCGAUGAAGGACGUGCUAAUCUGCGAUAAGCGUCGGUAAGGUGAUAUGAACCGUUAUAACCGGCGAUUUCCGAAUGGGGAAACCCAGUGUGAUUCGUCACACUAUCAUUAACUGAAUCCAUAGGUUAAUGAGGCGAACCGGGGGAACUGAAACAUCUAAGUACCCCGAGGAAAAGAAAUCAACCGAGAUUCCCCCAGUAGCGGCGAGCGAACGGGGAGCAGCCCAGAGCCUGAAUCAGUGUGUGUGUUAGUGGAAGCGUCUGGAAAGGCGCGCGAUACAGGGUGACAGCCCCGUACACAAAAAUGCACAUACUGUGAGCUCGAUGAGUAGGGCGGGACACGUGGUAUCCUGUCUGAAUAUGGGGGGACCAUCCUCCAAGGCUAAAUACUCCUGACUGACCGAUAGUGAACCAGUACCGUGAGGGAAAGGCGAAAAGAACCCCGGCGAGGGGAGUGAAAAAGAACCUGAAACCGUGUACGUACAAGCAGUGGGAGCACAGAGCAAUCUGUGUGACUGCGUACCUUUUGUAUAAUGGGUCAGCGACUUAUAUUCUGUAGCAAGGUUAACCGAAUAGGGGAGCCGAAGGGAAACCGAGUCUUAACUGGGCGUUAAGUUGCAGGGUAUAGACCCGAAACCCGGUGAUCUAGCCAUGGGCAGGUUGAAGGUUGGGUAACACUAACUGGAGGACCGAACCGACUAAUGUUGAAAAAUUAGCGGAUGACUUGUGGCUGGGGGUGAAAGGCCAAUCAAACCGGGAGAUAGCUGGUUCUCCCCGAAAGCUAUUUAGGUAGCGCCUCGUGAAUUCAUCUCCGGGGGUAGAGCACUGUUUCGGCAAGGGGGUCAUCCCGACUUACCAACCCGAUGCAAACUGCGAAUACCGGAGAAUGUUAUCACGGGAGACACACGGCGGGUGCUAACGUCCGUCGUGAAGAGGGAAACAACCCAGACCGCCAGCUAAGGUCCCAAAGUCAUGGUUAAGUGGGAAACGAUGUGGGAAGGCCCAGACAGCCAGGAUGUUGGCUUAGAAGCAGCCAUCAUUUAAAGAAAGCGUAAUAGCUCACUGGUCGAGUCGGCCUGCGCGGAAGAUGUAACGGGGCUAAACCAUGCACCGAAGCUGCGGCAGCGACGCUGAUGCGUUGUUGGGUAGGGGAGCGUUCUGUAAGCCUGUGAAGGUGUGCUGUGAGGCAUGCUGGAGGUAUCAGAAGUGCGAAUGCUGACAUAAGUAACGAUAAAGCGGGUGAAAAGCCCGCUCGCCGGAAGACCAAGGGUUCCUGUCCAACGUUAAUCGGGGCAGGGUGAGUCGACCCCUAAGGCGAGGCCGAAAGGCGUAGUCGAUGGGAAACAGGUUAAUAUUCCUGUACUUGGUGUUACUGCGAAGGGGGGACGGAGAAGGCUAUGUUGGCCGGGCGACGGUUGUCCCGGUUUAAGCGUGUAGGCUGGUUUUCCAGGCAAAUCCGGAAAAUCAAGGCUGAGGCGUGAUGACGAGGCACUACGGUGCUGAAGCAACAAAUGCCCUGCUUCCAGGAAAAGCCUCUAAGCAUCAGGUAACAUCAAAUCGUACCCCAAACCGACACAGGUGGUCAGGUAGAGAAUACCAAGGCGCUUGAGAGAACUCGGGUGAAGGAACUAGGCAAAAUGGUGCCGUAACUUCGGGAGAAGGCACGCUGAUAUGUAGGUGAAGUCCCUCGCGGAUGGAGCUGAAAUCAGUCGAAGAUACCAGCUGGCUGCAACUGUUUAUUAAAAACACAGCACUGUGCAAACACGAAAGUGGACGUAUACGGUGUGACGCCUGCCCGGUGCCGGAAGGUUAAUUGAUGGGGUCAGCGCAAGCGAAGCUCUUGAUCGAAGCCCCGGUAAACGGCGGCCGUAACUAUAACGGUCCUAAGGUAGCGAAAUUCCUUGUCGGGUAAGUUCCGACCUGCACGAAUGGCGUAAUGAUGGCCAGGCUGUCUCCACCCGAGACUCAGUGAAAUUGAACUCGCUGUGAAGAUGCAGUGUACCCGCGGCAAGACGGAAAGACCCCGUGAACCUUUACUAUAGCUUGACACUGAACAUUGAGCCUUGAUGUGUAGGAUAGGUGGGAGGCUUUGAAGUGUGGACGCCAGUCUGCAUGGAGCCGACCUUGAAAUACCACCCUUUAAUGUUUGAUGUUCUAACGUUGACCCGUGAUCCGGGUUGCGGACAGUGUCUGGUGGGUAGUUUGACUGGGGCGGUCUCCUCCUAAAGAGUAACGGAGGAGCACGAAGGUUGGCUAAUCCUGGUCGGACAUCAGGAGGUUAGUGCAAUGGCAUAAGCCAGCUUGACUGCGAGCGUGACGGCGCGAGCAGGUGCGAAAGCAGGUCAUAGUGAUCCGGUGGUUCUGAAUGGAAGGGCCAUCGCUCAACGGAUAAAAGGUACUCCGGGGAUAACAGGCUGAUACCGCCCAAGAGUUCAUAUCGACGGCGGUGUUUGGCACCUCGAUGUCGGCUCAUCACAUCCUGGGGCUGAAGUAGGUCCCAAGGGUAUGGCUGUUCGCCAUUUAAAGUGGUACGCGAGCUGGGUUUAGAACGUCGUGAGACAGUUCGGUCCCUAUCUGCCGUGGGCGCUGGAGAACUGAGGGGGGCUGCUCCUAGUACGAGAGGACCGGAGUGGACGCAUCACUGGUGUUCGGGUUGUCAUGCCAAUGGCACUGCCCGGUAGCUAAAUGCGGAAGAGAUAAGUGCUGAAAGCAUCUAAGCACGAAACUUGCCCCGAGAUGAGUUCUCCCUGACUCCUUGA